UCUUCCUUCCCAUCCGAAAUUCUGUUUGGGAAAUCGUAACAAACAGAUAUUUCUUACCUCUCAUACCUGCUGUUUGGGUUUUACUGCAAAUAAAUAACUUGCAGGCAACAAAGCUAGGACUCUAUACAAUCCUCCAGAUUGCUAUUAUUAUUAUUAUUAUUUUGUAAUUAAAAAAUCACUCCCUUGCUCUUUCUCUCCUUCAGGAUAAUUAUUUAAUGUAAAUGAGUCCUCCUUGCACAGACACUGCCUCUCUUUCUCAGGCUUUUCAUCUUUGCCAGGGCUGACUAAAAAGCCUGCCUAUGGCCGAGAGCUCGGCUCAUGUUUGGGAAGAAAACUGCAAUCUGACGUUGCAAUAGCAGCGGCAUGAAGGGCCCCUUUGUGCUCCUCCUCGCGUGUCUGAAUGCUGCAACCUGCCUGCCCUGGAGGCUCAGCCCCGGUCAGGAGGGCAGGAUGCGCCCCUCUCCUGUCGGAGGCACGGUGCUGCCCGCAGCCCUGCCCCACGGCACCCAGAGGAAAACCCAGCCCAGCUGGAGCAUCUGCCAGGGCCAGCCCAUACGUCUCCUACCCAGUUUUCCUGCUCGAACAACGGGCCGGAGGAGCUGCUAUCUGCUUAAUUGUAAGGCUCGGUUUGUUUCCUUUGUUUUGAUAUAGCAGGCUGUUGUUACAAGGGACAACAGAUUGUUUCUGAUAGCAGGUUGUUGUGACAGGGCGAGCUGCCUUUAGGUGACAUGCAGAAAACAGAGUUCACAGCUUAAGGACAUUUAAGAUGCAGGCUGUGAGCUGGCAGCUAAGCAGCAGAGCAUCCCCGCAGCCUCUGUGUGUUGGGUAAGAACAGAUAUAAGAAAGCCUUCACAAAACCUGUCUGAAUCUCCCGAGUGGUACCCCCACUCCCACAGCACCUCUGGCUUUCCCCUGUUGUAGACAAUGAGCUUUCUGGCUCCCAUCCCUCCUUCCUGGGUUUACUGAGCUUCCUGAAGCAGUUACAUCAGUCUUGCCAGGAGCCCGUGAGGGCUGGCUCACUGCCCUACCCUUGUCCCCAUUUUGAACCUCUCUCCUUGUGGGAUGUUUGCUCUUGGGUCCCUGGUCCCCAUGGCCAUCGGCAAGGAAGAGAUGCUUCAAUCAUACGGGAGCAUGAAUGAGGGUUCCUCUGAACUGGGCAGGCACCAGUACCAGGGGAUGCUUUCCCUUGAGAGAGCACAUCCCUGCUGAGAGGGGGGACCACAGUGCUGUAAAACACCAGUCUCUACUUCCUGCAGCUGGGUUUAAACAAGAGAGAAAGCCUGAGCCUGUGUUUGUCUUUCUGUCUUGGCACCUCCUUGAAGUUUUUUGGUAGCAACUGCUGAGUGCUCAGCACUUAAAAAUACACAGAUGUAACAUGCAAUUGAAGUCAAACCUAGGUUGAUAUUUUGUUUGUUUGAAGUCAGAUCGCAGUAUUAUUAGGUGACUUGUCUCAUUCACUCAUCUCACUUACAGGUGAUGUCCUCAUCACCUGCCAAGUUUCCUGUCGACACUUGAUGCGUCUGUAUACACACAUGUAAGAGCAUACAUUAAUCUUGUAUGGGGAAACAGCUAUGAGGGAAGGAAGAACACUAUUUCCAUUUCUUGGUUAUCAGGCAACACUUAUCAUGUAGCAACUUUCACUAUUAGAUUUUGUAGGAAAACAAACAACAAAAAAGAAUAGAUCAUUUUCCUUUUUUUUUUUUUUUUUUCCUUCAGAUUUUCUUCUUUACAAACUUCCUCACUAGGAAAGAAAUAGAUUUUAACUAUACUGGAUGAGGUUCUCAGAUGGAUUUUGUAAUCAGAACACAGAAUCCCUUCUGUGGACAGAUGGAUGCAUUUAGGGAACCCGGACUGUCCUCAUCUCAGGGCACUGUGCCUAAAACUGGAGGGUUCCUGAUGGAUGCCUGCAUGGAAGCGUGCCAGUGGUGGCAUGUCCCCAGCCAGCUGGACCCAGGACCUGUCCAGCCGUACUGGGAUUCAUCAUGGGACCUUUGGAGGAGCAUCUUUCCCUAUCGGUUCCCAAGUGGAAAACAGGAGAAGAGACACCUGGCAUAGGCGGGCGGAGGGCACCGGGCACCCAGCUGCAGAGGGUCUGGGCACACUCCGAGGAGUUUUCACUAGUGCCACAGUCAGGUCCUGGUGUCGCAGGACCAGGGCUCACCUCUUACUGGGGCCCUGGUGUGGAUCAGCCCUGCUGGCUGGUCACAGCCCCAGCCUGAGCUGUGCCAGGGGAGAAAAUACCCCAGACAUCAGUGAGCAAUCCCACUGGGCCUGGGGGCCCUCGGAGUUCACUGAACUGGUUUGCCCCUUCUCUUGCUUAGCAAGUUGCUUUUACAGAGGAAUUGUAUCACGGGCCUUGUAUCACAUCACACUUGUUAUAUCAUCGGCUGGAGAGCUUCUAUUUAUGGCGUUUAUUGCUUCCAGCUCUUAGAGGGCCACUUCCAACCAGCUUUAAAGCCAACGUGCCUGAAGUGGGAUUUUUUUUUUUAAAUGAUAGUAAUUAACCUUUGAAUUGCCAACUUCACCUUUGCUUAUUCCUUUCCGACAGGGAGUUAUCUGCACACGAAAUGCCUGUCUUUGUAGGAAAUGGGAACCUGCUGGUCCGUGUAUUUGCACUUACUGCUUAGCUCAUUCAGGAUGAAAGGCCAGGAAUAUGCUGACACUGUAGUAUGUGUUGUCUUUUCCCUUUCCCUUUCCCCUUCUCUUUCCCUUUCCUUUCCUUUCCUCUUUCCCUUUUCCAUUUGGGCUCAGGUUUUUCCAUUAUAAACCCAAUUCCGCAUUUAUGUACCAAAGCAGAUUGUCAACAUUUUUAUUAUAAUAAUAUCUAUAAUGUUCACAGACACGACUGAAAGAACACUGUUGGAAAGCUGUUGAUAUACUUGGGGCUUACAUAAGGGUUCAGCAGGUUAACUUUCCCCCCUUUGAUAAAGUAAUAGCUGGGAGGGGAGGGCUGAUCUCUGUAGCAGGCAGCUUCACAUCUUCUCCAGAGAUCCUAUAUCCAUCGGAUGUCCCUAGGGGACAGAUUUAACCAAUACUAAAGUCAACGGGUGGCAGCUGGGGCCUCAGGGGUCAUGAGCACCACAGCUGCUCCCAGCUGGUGUGCCCCAUAGUACAAGCAAGUCCAGCUGAGACGUGUCCCUGUGAUGACACCACUGUUAAAUUUUCAGUGCCUGUGAUGCGGGGCACAGGCUGAGCAUGCAGCUGGGUGUGCGGGCUGAACAGACUGCAGCCAACACCUGAGCUGGCACUGAGCCUCCUGAAACAAGUUAACGAGAUGGAUUUUUUCUGAGGACAGACAGAUCAAAAUGGGAUGUUGGUAUUGAGCUGGUGCUCAACAUUGCACACCCAGACGAGGUGUGCUGGCAGUGUGCCACGAGGCCAAGACCCAAAGAGCUGCGGUCUGCAGGUCUUUGAAGCCCCAGCAGAGCUGUGUUGGCCUUGGGGAAGCUCAGCCAUGGACAGUGGUAAGGAGGUGCAGGUCCUCUAAGCCUCCCAGUGGAUUCACAGCAGCUGGGCUGAUUCCCACUGCUGAGAUAAAUAAAGGGCAGCUGAAGGCAGAUGCAUCAGGCUGCCUCCAUAACAAAACACAUUGAACCUGUGCUGCUCUCGCUUGAUUCAGCCACAGCACAGGCAGUGGCUUUGAGCAGAUGCUGAGGGACACUUCAUAUUGCUGUGCUUCCAAAAUAGCCAGUCUUUUUUUUUUUUUUUUACUACAGAGCAGGCAGCAACAUAUUAAAAAAAAAAAAAAGUAUAAAUAAAUACACAAGGAGAUGGGAUGCCGCUCUGUGAGAGCUAACCCUCCCUCUCCCCUCCUUCAGCUCACUGAGCUGCUUGCCUUUUUUAUUUUGGAUUUACACCGCUGGUGGGAAUGUACAUUCCUCAUGAUUUCAAACAGCUGGAUUCUGUAUCCAAGGGCUCCGGCUCCCAAGACCAAUCCAGAUUUAUGCAAAGUUUACACAAACACGAACACAAAUAAAUAAAUAAGUGGGAAGUCUGGGAAGCACACCCCAAGCUUCUGACCCCUUCUUAUUGGAAAGGGUUUUGUUGCUCCCGUGUCUCAGGGUAACCCUCAAUUAACUCGUGAAAGGCCGGAGAGGCAUGAAUACAGCAGUGUUUGCUUUCUGGGAAGGAUCCCAGCAGCUGGACUCUCCUUGGCGGGACACCACACAGUGCUUUGG